GUACACUCCUGCGGGAGGCAGCAGUAGGGAAUCUUCCACAAUGGGUGCAAACCUGAUGGAGCAAUGCCGCGUGAGUGAAGAAGGUCUUCGGAUCGUAAAGCUCUGUUGUUAGAGAAGAACACGUGCUAGGUAACUACUAGCGCCUUGACGGUAUCUAACCAGAAAGUCACGGCUAACUACGUGCCAGCAGCCGCGGUAAUACGUAGGUGACAAGCGUUGUCCGGAUUUAUUGGGCGUAAAGGGAGCGCAGGCGGUUUGUUUAGUCUAAUGUGAAAGCCCACGGCUUAACCGUGGAACGGCAUUGGAAACUGACAGACUUGAAUGUAGAAGAGGAAAAUGGAAUUCCAAGUGUAGCGGUGGAAUGCGUAGAUAUUUGGAGGAACACCAGUGGCGAAGGCGAUUUUCUGGUCUAACAUUGACGCUGAGGCUCGAAAGCGUGGGGAGCGAACAGGAUUAGAUACCCCGGUAGUCCCA
rnacentral:rRNA from 1 species